CCUACGGGAGUCUGCAGUGGGGAAUAUUGCACAAUGGGGGAAACCCUGAUGCAGCGACGCCGCGUGCGUGAAGAAGUAUUUCGGUAUGUAAAGCUCUAUCAGCAGGGAAGAUAAUGACGGUACCUGACUAAGAAGCCCCGGCUAACUACGUGCCAGCAGCCGCGGUAAUCCGUAGGGGGCAAGCGUUAUCCGGAUUUACUGGGUGGAACGGGAGCGUAGGUGUCAGGUCAAGUCAGAUGUGAAAACCCGGGGCUCAACCCCGGGAGUGCAUUUGAAACUGUCCAGCUGGAGUGCAGGAAAGGUAAGCGGAAUUCCGAGUGUAGAGGUGAAAUGCAUAGAUAUUAGGAAGAACACCAGUGGCGAAGGCAGCUUACUGGACUGUAACUGACACUGAGGCUCGAAAGCGUGGGGAGCAAACAGGAUUAGAUACCCGAGUAGUC
rnacentral:rRNA from 1 species